rnacentral:tRNA from 1 species
ACUCUGCCGGCCUACCAGUAUUGUGGAUAUGACCCUCGGCUUGUAACCGAGUGGGUUUGGGUUCGAAUCCCGAGUAAAGUA